AGCCCUGUGUCUGUCUGGUCUCUCUUCUGCGCGUGUGAACAGUCCCACAGUCUUCACCCGCACUUCCUCUCAGUUUCCGUACUGCUUUUCUUUUGUCAGCACUUUGAUUCUCAGCUGACGUUUAGGGCUUUGAUCUUUUUUUUUUUUUUCAAACUUACAUGCCAGUUCUCUGAUUAUAGUGGUCUUGAAGUCAAAGAAAUGGAGUGGGCAGAGGGGAGGAGGGGAAGCCGCGUGUGCAGGCUCAGGCUCUCUGGCCAGAGCUGCCCCCCUGCAACCUCCGCUGGUUUGACCCAGGAACCCCGCGUGUGGCCUAGCUGGAGGAAUGUGGCUAAAGUCACCACGUGGGCUUGUCCUUGGGCUUCGGCUGAUCCCCUACACGUUUUCUGGUAGGAUGCCCCUUCAAGGUUCCCUUUCCACCAUCUUCCUGCUCCUCUACACAUCCACCUGCUCACAUCACCCCUGACUCCCAGGAAGUCUUUCAGAAGUCUUUGUCUCAUUUUGCCAGGCGGGAGGAAGGGGAAAGCCUGCUGCUGAUGCCUACGGUUCCACACAGUUAUUUAAUUACUUGCCUCUUUAAUGAUUUUGAUGGCAAUAUGUUAAUUACACAAAACAGUAGGUUUCAUUGGGAGAUUUUUCAUUCAAAGCACAUAUAGAGAAAUGUCCUUUGAUCCUAUUCAGUGCCCCUCCCCCAUUCCUAUGCGUCUUGGGGAGCCAAGAAAGGCUCGAGUGACUGUGAUCCGCCCUGAGAGAUGGGUAUCAUUGACCAGGGCAAAGCCUUCCUGUGGGAUGGACAUUAGGAGGGUAUACAAAACAACUGUAGUGAUCUGCUCUCAGAUCACUACUACUUCUCACUGGGAGAAGUCUGGCUGGUUCCUUGGACGACGGGUGCUUCCGUUUCGAGUAACCCCAUUCUAAUCUCCAUAGUGCCCCAUCUGGCUAUUGCCAGUCUCUCAUUACCUUGCACUCAGCUUUCUCAAUGCUAACCGUUUAGGUGGCACCCAGCCUGGGUCGAGUUGUGGAAGAGGUUGUAAGGAUCUGAGGGCAGGAGACCCAGUUUCUACCUGUGGACUUCAGCCAUUCAGUACUGCCGAACUCUGAGUUCACGUUUCAUUACUCUCCUUUCUGCCUAUGGAUUCUGCUUCAAGCCUGCACCAGUCUUAAUACACUGUAGGACCUCUUGUGACAGACGAGGCACACAUGACAUGUCCAAAAAAAUAUAUCUCAAAGUCACUUUCUGAAAUGACCCUUCUUUAGCUGAGAAAUAAGAAACAGUCUCCUUUUUACACAGUGGGUUCUGGAGGGUAGCUCCUCAGAACCGUCCCGUGAAGAUCUGAUGCUUUUGUUCUCCACAGAGGGCUCCCCUGACAGAUGGCCCCAGGUGAGAUUUCCACUCUCAGCUAAGUGUGCGGAAAGCAAAACCGAGUGUGAAGCCUCCAUUUUGCUGCUCAGCCAGGUUGUGGUUUCUGGCUUGAAAGCUGUGACUUCCUCAAUUGCAUGUGACUUCUCUGUGUGACACCUGCUGACUGUUACAGCGCUUUGGCCAAGAUGGGGGCCUGGUUUUUGGUCUAACCUUUGUUCACUAACUAAUGCACACUGCUGACUUCUUUCUGGUUAAGCUUGGGCCUGAUUGGGGAGAGCUCUUGGGGCAGCGUCUAGGAAUUUGGCGGGAAUUUGAUUUUGGGCUGGGACAAGGAAGUAGGCUCAAGAUCCUGAUCAUCUUGAUGAGCCCCUGAAUCCAGGACUUAUUUAUUGCCUUGACCUAGAACUAACCUUAUUUCUUUGCAUGUACUCAGAAUGAUAUAAAAGCAGACAGGAGAAAGAUAAACCCGCUUCCACCUCAGAACCUGCUGGGGUCAUGCUACAGUGUUAUUUAACUCUUUUUAUUUUAAUCCUUGCUCCUUCCCCGAAGAACCCAUAGACGGAUUGAGCUGGCUUGGUCACCUGGUUUUGGUGUUAGCCUUCCCUAUCUGUAGGUUCUGUACCUCAGCCUAAAAAGGAGACAUUUUUCUCUGUAUAGAGUUUAUAGUUUUUGUUUCCUCACAGUGAAGGGAUUAAAGUCCCUGUUCAUGCUCGAAAAGUACUGUACCCCUGAGCUAGACCCUCAGUGUGACACUGUAGAAUCUAAGCAUCACCUGUCAAUAAAAAAGCUGAUGGCCAAUGAGCUAAGGCAGGAAAUAGGAGGCAGGAUACUGGCAGGAAGAGAGGACUCUGGGAAACAGGAAGUGCCUGCACUCAUUCCUGGCCGAGUUAGCCUCUGGCUUUUCCUCGUCCGGUACCCACCUGCACCAGGUCCUUUAACUCACAAUUAGCGCUGUCUCCUUCCCCACCUCAGAGCUUCUCUGUACAUCUGUGGUCAUCAUAUGCAUGGAGACACAGGACAGAGUCAGGAUGCUUUUCUCUGCUCUUCUGCUGAUCAGCCGUGAUACCAGCAUCGCUUCAUCCACGGUUUCCUUAGCUCCGAAAUGUGCAGGUUGGACCAAGGAGUACAAUAUUCCUUUCCAAGACUCCAAGGAAAGCCCCGCCCCUCAUCAAGAGCCUCACUGCUCAUGAACACACGUUAGUUCAACUUCAGCCAUGUCUUUGUCGGGCUGCCUUUCUCCACAAGGUUGACUGCACACAGGUGAAAUGGCUUAUUCAGUUGCUGGAAACAAGUCCCCACCGCCAGCUGAUCCUUACACUGAAUGAUGGAUGGGGGCUGUUACCUUUCCUGUCACACGGCUCCUCCUCAGAGCCAGCCUGUGCUUUAUGGGUGGAAUAAACAGCUUACAUAUGUUCCGUUACUGGUUUGUCUAUCAAGCCCUUCUGGCCAUAGCGAAGGCCGAUUGGUGACAGAGCAGAGAAAGAACUCAGUGUAGGGUCCAAGGUCAGCGGCUGGACAGAGUAUGCACCAUGAUGGGUUCAUUGGAGGCCCUGCUAAUCCGUGCCAAAGGACAGAAGCUCAUGAAGCCUGCAGAAUGAUUGACUUGGCAGAACACUUCGGUCAUUGUGUGAAAUCUGGCCCCACCCCUUUCUUCAUAAGACCAAAGAUAGAGGCUUCCCAGUCCUGCAGUCAAAGUUCCGUGGGAAGUUCACCAAUGGCCUCUAAGGAUGCCUCCCACGGUUGGGCCCCAUCAUCUUGGCCCCACUCUGAGGAAGAGACAUUAGUUCCCAAAUGUGAGGAAAUUGGGCCUAAUUACGUUAAAUUUCACAAGGUGAUUUUUUUGUGUAGCAGAUUUCUCAGGAACUUAUUUUUUCAUGGUGUAUUGCAUAUUAAUUCUUUUGCUGUUAAUGUGACUGAGUAGCCCGGGCAAGGUUAGUUGUUUUUUUUUGUUUUUUGUUUUUUGUUUUUUGUUUUUUUUUUUUUUUUUUUUUUUUUUUUUUUUUCCGGAAGCUGGGGAAGGUUAGUUUUAUAAAGAAAAAAUGCUUACUUAGUUCGCAGUUCCACAGACUCAAUGGCAUGGUCCCGAUAUUGGCCCGGCAUCAGCCAAUGACAGAAGUACAAAGGAAGAGGGAGGGGGCAGGACGAAGACCGGAGGUGGGAAGAGAGAAGAGGGGAGAGAAUAACAUCUGAUGUCCCCCUCUCACCCCUGAGGGUGCACAUACGUGUAACAACAUAAACACGGGCAAAUGUUUAUAUGCAUAAGAUUUAAAAACAUUAAUUUUCAUUUAAUUAAUUUACUUCGCCAUUCAGGCCUUGACCCCUUGUAUUUAGCUGUAUCCUGGAGCUGGCGUGCUUCCCACUUUAUUACUGGGAUGCAUCAGCUUUCGCAAAUAGCAACCUUGACUGCACCUCAUAAAAUAUAUGAGCCUCUUGGGUACAGUAGGUCAUCCUGCACAAUGCGAGAGGAGAGCUUUAUCCGGUCACCUAUGGCGACACAUUGAUGUCACCAGAGGUGACAGUGAAAGUGAGGUAAGGAGCUCAGAGAAUCAAAUUCAGGAGCUACUCCCUGGAACGGAAACCACAGGCCACCACCACCCAUGCUGUCUCUGCUGAGAUCCUGCUGGUUCUCAUCACAAAGCUGUGGAUUUGCUAGGACUACAUGUAGAGGGUCUCCGGAGGACUAAAGUCCAUUAUGGCAGAAGCAUGGCCGGAGCAGGAAGCUAAGGAACCUUACUUCUACUGCAAGCAAGCUCAGGAAGCAGAGCGUGAACUGGAAGUGAGGCGGGGCUAUGCACUUUCAAACCCCACCCCCUUAUAUGACGCACUUCCUUCAGCAGGGCCGCGCCUUCUACCCCUAAAAUCUCCACCAAUCAGAGAACUGAGCCUGUGAGGGGCAUUUUCCACUCAAGCCAACACACCUACUGUGCAUCAGGCAUUUGCUAGAUGCUGAGGGACGCAAGAGAAGCAGGUGAGCAGCCCAUGCACUACUUCCGGUAGAGUGACCUGCGUCUGCGUGUACAGUGAGCAGGACUGCAGACAUGUGAGUGAGGUUUUCCAGGAACACCAGGAGUGACUCUCGAGGAAAUGGCAUUUCAAGGCUGGGUCACUAACCGCCACCUUUAUAUUAUGUUUAAGGAAUACUUAAUUAGACUGUAUUAAAAGUCAGGUGCCUGAGGUGUAAAAUUAUGUGGUCAGAGAGAAAGGAGGUAUCUUACACACUGUUGGGGAGAGUACGGACUGAUGCUAUCUCCAUGGAAAUUAGUAUGGGGUUUUUCAAAAGGGCUAAAAAUAAAACUGUUAUAUGACC